rnacentral:snoRNA from 1 species
UCUUAUGAUGAUUCUUGAUAUUCACACUGUGUGAGCGGCGGCGUUGUAACGAGCGUCCGUUGCUCUGAUCGCAAAAACAUCUACUGAUUUAAUGAGACUGAAC